rnacentral:rRNA from 1 species
GGCGUGCCUUUUGCAUAAUGAGCCUACGAGUUACCGUUGCUAGCGAGGUUAAACACUUCAGGUGUGGAGCCGUAGCGAAAGCGAGUCUGAAUAGGGCGCUAUAGUUAGUAGUGGUAGACGCGAAACCGUGUGAUCUACCCAUGGGCAGGUUGAAGCUGUGGUAACACACAGUGGAGGACCGAACCGGUUGACGUUGAAAAGUCUUGGGAUGACCUGUGGGUAGGGGUGAAAGGCCAAUCAAACUCGGAAAUAGCUCGUACUCCCCGAAAUGCAUUUAGGUGCAGCGUAUUAAUAGUUUUAUAGAGGUAGAGCUACUGAUUGGAUGCGGGGGCUUCACCGCCUACCAAUUCCUGACAAACUCCGAAUGCUAUAAAAUGUUUUAAUGCAGUGAGGGCAUGGGUGCUAAGGUCCAUGUCCGAGAGGGAAAGAACCCGGACCAUCAGCUAAGGUCCCCAAAUAUAUACUAAGUUGAAUAAACGAGGUUUGACUGCCUAGACAGCUAGGAUGUUGGCUUGGAAGCAGCCAUUCAUUUAAAGAGUGCGUAACAGCUCACUAGUCGAGCGGUCGAGCAUGGAUAAUAAUCGGGCAUAAGUAUAUUACCGAAGCUAUGGACUCCAAUGGAGUGGUAGGGGAGCAUUCUAUUUGCGCAGAAUGUGGUCUGCGAGGACUGCUGGAGCGGAUAGAAAAGAAAAUGUAGGCAUAAGUAACGAUAAUGCGGGCGAGAAACCCGCACACCGAAAGACUAAGGUUUCCUCAGCUAUGCUAAUCAGCUGAGGGUUAGUCGGGACCUAACGCGAACCCGAACGGGGUAGUGGAUGGACAACGGGUUAAUAUUCCCGUACCUGCUCACACUAAAAGUGACGGAUCUCUGGAGUUGCUGCGUACUGACGGAAUAGUACGUUGAAGCAGUAAUGCGAUAGUACACUAAGGCUACGGCCGCGGUGAUAAUGUAGCGAAGGAGGUUCCAAGAAAAGCGAGUGAAGCAGCCUGUACCGUAAACCGACACAGGUGGUUGGGAUGAGAAUUCUAAGGUGCUCGAGAGAUUCAUGGCUAAGGAACUAGGCAAAAUCGACCCGUAACUUCGGGAGAAGGGUCGCCCUCCAAUGGAGGGCCGCAGUGAAGAGGUCCAGGCGACUGUUUAUCAAAAACACAGGGCUCUGCAAAAUCGAAAGAUGACGUAUAGGGCCUGACACCUGCCCGGUGCUGGAAGGUUAAGAGGAGAUGUCAUUCCUUCGGGGAGAAGCAUUGAAUUGAAGCCCCAGUAAACGGCGGCCGUAACAAUAACGGUCCUAAGGUAGCGAAAU